UACGUAGGUGGCAAGCGUUGUCCGGAAUUAUUGGGCGUAAAGCGCGCGCAGGUGGUUUCUUAAGUCUGAUGUGAAAGCCCACGGCUCAACCGUGGAGGGUCAUUGGAAACUGGGGAACUUGAGUGCAGGAGAGAAGAGUGGAAUUCCACGUGUAGCGGUGAAAUGCGUAGAGAUGUGGAGGAACACCAGUGGCGAAGGCGACUCUGUGGCCUGUAACUGACGCUGAGACGCGAAAGCGUGGGGAGCAAACAGG
rnacentral:rRNA from 1 species